GGGGUUGUGGCUCAGCUGUAAAGCUCUCAUUUAGCACGUGUGAAGCCCUGGGUUCAAUCCUCAGCACCACA
rnacentral:tRNA from 1 species